rnacentral:rRNA from 1 species
AUCGAACGCUGGCGGCAUGCCUUACACAUGCAAGUCGAACGGCAGCACGGGAGCAAUCCUGGUGGCGAGUGGCGAACGGGUGAGUAAUAUAUCGGAACGUGCCCAGUCGUGGGGAUAACGUAGCGAAAGCUACGCUAAUACCGCAUACGAUCUAUGGAUGAAAGCGGGGGAUCGCAAGACCUCGCGCGAUUGGAGCGGCCGAUAUCAGAUUAGGUAGUUGGUGAGGUAAAGGCUCACCAAGUCGACGAUCUGUAGCUGGUCUGAGAGGACGACCAGCCACACUGGGACUGAGACACGGCCCAGACUCCUACGGGAGGCAGCAGUGGGGAAUUUUGGGACAAUGGGCGCAAGCCUGAUCCAGCAAUGCCGCGUGCAGGAUGAAGG